rnacentral:tRNA from 1 species
GCCUGGCUGGCUCAGUUGGUAGAGCAUGCGACUCUUGAUCUCAGGAUAGUGGUUCAAGCCCCACGUUGGGUG